rnacentral:rRNA from 1 species
CGCAUCUGUGCAUGCAGCAUAUCAAUAAGCGGAGGAAAAGAAACUAACAAGGAUUCCCCUAGUAACGGCGAGUGAAGCGGGAAGAGCUCAAAUUUGAAAUCUUAAAGGGUUUCCCCUUACGAAUUGUAGUUUAAAGAAGUGUUUUCUGUUGAGGUUUUGGUAAAAGUUCUUUGGAAUAGGACAUCAUAGAGGGUGAGAAUCCCGUAUUUGACCUUUACUUUCAACUUUGUGAUACACUUUCAAAGAGUCGGAUUGUUUGGGAAUGCAGUCCAAAAUGGGUGGUAAAUUUCAUCUAAAGCUAAAUAUUGGCGAGAGACCGAUAGCGAACAAGUACCGUGAGGGAAAGAUGAAAAGAACUUUGAAAAGAGAGUUAAACAGUACGUGAAAUUGUCAAAAGGGAAGCGUUUGACACCAGUGUUGUUUUUCUGAAAAUCAAUUAAAGAACUGUUUAUGCUAAGUUGUUUAGACUUUAUCAGCUAUCUGUUUAGUUUUGAGCUUUUCUUUAAUGCACUUUUCAGUUAACAAGUCAACAUCAAUUUCUUUUGCUGUAAAAAAGCUUGAGGAAGGUGGCUUGAGAUUCGUCUUAAGUGUUUAUAGCCUCUUGCCUAUGCAGUCGGAGAGAUUGAGGUCUGCAGCGUAGAUCCUUCGGGGCUAAAUGCAUUUGUGCUAAGUUAUAGCAUUUUAUAGACAACUUGUUGACUAUGAUUUGUCUUGUAGCUUACUCGCUUAUGUUAUUUUACCUACGCUUAGGAUGUUGACACACGCGCGUGCUCG